UGCAUUGGGGGAAUGGAUCAUUGUUCAUGUGUGACAAAAAUCUGACGAUCCAUUAAAAUUCCGAUCGUUUACAUUUUUUUUUUUCUGAAACCCAGGGAGGUCAUCUUAGUAGCUAUACGCCCCUUUUGCUUCUUUAUUUGUUUGUUUUUCUUCUUUCCUUCUUUUUCUUCUUCUUGUUUGUCUUAUAAAAAGAGAGUUUUUCAUAAAGGGGUCCUUUAUUGGAAUAGUCUUAAUGCAGAACAUAAACAGUCAGUCAGUGUUUUUUUCUUUUCGUGACAAGCUUAAACAUGGACUAUAACGGUACUACUUUAAAAUCACUAUCAGAACUUGUUUAUGUUGUGUUCAGCUAUCAAUUCAUUGUUGUGGUCAUGUUUUUCUCCAAAUAAUUUUGCUACAAUUUGACCGAAAAAAAUUGACCUCGAUUCUUCGAUUUUGAAAUUUCCCGCCCUGUACUGGUUCCCGGCUAUUAAACCAACACUGAAAUCCAAGCGGAUUUGUAAACCAGCGGACGUCAUGAACGCGGUCAAAAAAUGGUGACGUAUUACCCAUGAAGCAACGAGAGUAAACAAAGAUUACGCCAUGGACUCCGUGUGUUGUGUAUGCGUUGUCAUCCACACUACAGGCGUGCGUGUGUGCUACGAAGCUUUUUGUUUCUAGUGUAUCAGCUAUAAAUACUGCCGACUAUUUGGUUUUUUGUGGAUGCACUUGUAGUUUCAAAGUUUGUGUAGGAAGCCUGGAUCGAUUCCGAAAUUUAAACCUCUAAACAUCGAGAGAAUUCAGGGGGAUCUUCUACCACCAGGCCCCAGCCAGUGCUGCAUGUGCAUGCUACGAGUACGACGUCGACGGGGUCCCUCUGCCGUGGCCCUGGUCGCAAGUGGCCGUGGAACAGCAAAAGAAUCAAGUGGCAUUACAGAAAAGAGAGGGAGAAAAGCCUGAAAUAACUCGCAGCUCUACACUACAAUGAGAAUGCAGGACGAAGACAAUGCAGGACGGAGACAUGCUAGCCAGAACUAGAAAUGGAGACCUAAGAUUCUCAAUAGCACUUUAGAUACGCAAAGAAUGCAUGAACAAUGCACAUGUUCAUUGUCAGCAGGGUGACAAGACAUGAAAACAACUCCAUCCGCAGCUGAUGUGUAACCCCCGUGUCAUUGACAUCAACCUUCACCAGCCGGAAAAG